GCUGCUGCUGCUUUAAUCUCUGUGUAAGAUUGAUUUCAAGCACGCGAAGGGUACAACAAGACAGAUCAAACUCACAAAAUUGAGGAAACAGGAUUCAAAAUGCUCAGAUUGACAAUAAAAAUAUCACAAUCUUUUAA
rnacentral:lncRNA from 1 species